rnacentral:rRNA from 1 species
CCUACGGGUGGCUGCAGUGGGGAAUAUUGCACAAUGGGCGCAAGCCUGAUGCAGCCAUGCCGCGUGUGUGAAGAAGGCCUUCGGGUUGUAAAGCACUUUCGGCGGGGAGGAAGGCGGUGAGGUUAAUAACCUCAUCGAUUGACGUUACCCGCAGAAGAAGCACCGGCUAACUCCGUGCCAGCAGCCGCGGUAAUACGGAGGGUGCAAGCGUUAAUCGGAAUUACUGGGCGUAAAGCGCACGCAGGCGGUCUGUCAAGUCGGAUGUGAAAUCCCCGGGCUCAACCUGGGAACUGCAUUCGAAACUGGCAGGCUAGAGUCUUGUAGAGGGGGGUAGAAUUCCAGGUGUAGCGGUGAAAUGCGUAGAGAUCUGGAGGAAUACCGGUGGCGAAGGCGGCCCCCUGGACAAAGACUGACGCUCAGGUGCGAAAGCGUGGGGAGCAAACAGGAUUAAAUACCCCUGUAGUC